UUCAUGGGUAAUUUCCAAUCAAGUAAUUCGUGUGUUUUAAACAGUGGUAGAAAACGUGGAAGAAAAUGCAAGGUAAUUCAAUUAAAAUAAAGUGUAGGUCUAUUCUUGCUCCGCAGACCCAACAUUUUCCAGAUUUGAAUGCUCAACCGUUUCCCUUUUGUUUGAAACAUUUCAUUCACUAGUCUGUGAAUCCUCCUAUGUUUACCUACGAAUCGUCACUGAAAUGUUUAUGCCAUUUUGUUUAGGAGAUUUGUGAAAUAAUCUGCCAUAUUUGAGUAUAAUAACCAUGCAUUUUCUUCCAAUGUUAUAGUUUAGGCGUGUUAUUGCUCCACUGCCGGUACCUGUGUUUAGUGUAAAGGGAAUUGGAUCGCUGGCAAAAAGAAAUCCCUUUGCAACAGACUUGUUGUAACACGAUCUCCAUUUUGUGGAUGAGGAUAUGGCCACUUUGAUGUUUCUACUAGGCACAGGAAGUUGAAUUGAAGUUUGUGCCCAGUGGAUUUCUCUCAAAAACAAGGAGAUAAUGGGUAAGGAAGGAUGUGUGGUCCCUCCCUGCCCACCAAAACGGAGGAGGAAAAGACUACCAUCAGACCCAUUUUGAUGGUAUAAGCAGUCUUAACCACCCUUCUUUUGUUUAGAAACCAAGAGCUCGAAACUGUAGUAUGUUUUUUUUGAGAUUGGACACUGUCAAUAACAAGCUUGCCGUACAUUUUGCUGGAAUAACCUUAGAAAUGACCUUUUUCAUCAUCAUAAUGUGCGGCCUCUGAAUAUAAACUAAAACUACCAUUAUACAAGGUAGAAGAUGAAAUAUUUCAAUCACAAGACUUUAUUUAAAUUUUUCACCUAGAUGUUACAAUCACAAACCAAGAGAACAUACCUGUACAUUGACUCAUAAUUCCAUUUUAAGUAGCUGUCUCGGGCAGAGAGAGAGCUUUACUAGGUACUAUGCUUGUGAGAGUGUAUUAAUAUGCAUAUACACUGAUUGUACAAAACAUUAGGAACACCUUCCUAAUAUUGAGUUAUAUACAACUCUCUUUUGCCCUCAGAACAGCCUCAAUUCAUCGGAGCAUGGACUCUUCCACAGGGAUACAGGCCCAUGUUGACUUCAAUGCUUCCUAAAGUUGUGUCAAGUUGGCUGGAUGUCCUUUGGGUGGUGGACCAUUCUUUAUACACAUGGGAAGCUGUUGAGCGUGAAAAACCCAGCAGUGCUGCAGUUCGUGACACACUUUAACCGAUAUUGAAGCUCAAUCACCUGCGGAGGAGCUGAGGGGAUCUGAGGGCUGCUCGGGGGACUUUGCGAUGCAAAUGUGAGGUAAUUACCUAAAGCCAGGAGAGUGAGUGGAAGGCAGCCCAGGCUAAAAUAGAGCAAGAAGGAAAAGUGACGGUGAGAGACGUGAAAGAUUCACAAGCCUGUUGAUGCUGACUGAUUGGAGCACUUGGAAUGAAGGGCAAAAAUGGAGGGGUGUUGUGUAGGAAAGGGAUUCACAGAAGAUAGCUGUGCCCUUGUGUUUUAAGCCCAUUCUUGUGUCUGUGCGUGUCCUCUUUUUCUUCUGCAAAAAAAGAUGAAUGUGUUCCAUGUUUUUCCUGACUCCAGAGAGAUUUGGUUAGUUGUCGUUGUGUGAUUAGCUUAAUGUAUGUCAUGGUUGCCAUGUUCAAGUGUAAUAGGCUGUAUAUGGAGAAUAAAAGCCGUUGACUAUGUG